rnacentral:rRNA from 1 species
UGGGGAAUUUUGGACAAUGGGCGAAAGCCUGAUCCAGCAAUGCCGCGUGUGUGAAGAAGGCCUUCGGGUUGUAAAGCACUUUUGUCCGGAAAGAAAUCCUUGGCUCUAAUACAGUCGGGGGAUGACGGUACCGGAAGAAUAAGCACCGGCUAACUACGUGCCAGCAGCCGCGGUAAUACGUAGGGUGCAAGCGUUAAUCGGAAUUACUGGGCGUAAAGCGUGCGCAGGCGGUUUGCUAAGACCGAUGUGAAAUCCCCGGGCUCAACCUGGGAACUGCAUUGGUGACUGGCAGGCUAGAGUAUGGCAGAGGGGGGUAGAAUUCCACGUGUAGCAGUGAAAUGCGUAGAGAUGUGGAGGAAUACCGAUGGCGAAGGCAGCCCCCUGGGCCAAUACUGACGCUCAUGCACGAAAGCGUGGGGAGCAAACAGGAUUAGAUACCCUGGUAGUCCACGCCCUAAACGAUGUCAACUAGUUGUUGGGGAUUCAUUUCCUUAGUAACGUAGCUAACGCGUGAAGUUGACCGCCUGGGGAGUACGGUCGCAAGAUUAAAACUCAAAGGAAUUGACGGGGUCC